CAUAGGUGGCAAGCGUUGUCCGGAUUUAUGGGUUUAACGGGUGCGUAGGCGGCCCUGUAAGUCAGUGGUGAAAUGCUCUAGCUUAACUAGAGAGGUGCCAAUGAUACUGCAGGGCUUGAGUACAGAUGAGGUAGGCGGAAUUGACGGUGUAGCGGUGAAAUGCAUAGAUAUCGUCAAGAACACCUAUAGCGAAGGCAGCUUACUGGGCUGUAACUGACGCUGAGGCACGAAAGUGUGGGGAUCAAACAGGAUUAGAUACCCUGGUAGUCCACACUGUAAACGUUGAUUACUCGCUGUUUGCGAUACACAGCAAGCGGCUUAGCGAAAGCGAUAAGUAAUCCACCUGGGGAGUACGCCGGCAACGGUG
rnacentral:rRNA from 1 species